UAGGGAAUCUUCGGCAAUGGGGGGAACCCUGACCGAGCAACGCCGCGUGAGUGAAGAAGGUUUUCGGAUCGUAAAGCUCUGUUGUUAAGGAAGAACGAGUGUGAGAAUGGAAAGUUCAUGCUGUGACGGUACUUAACCAGAAAGGGACGGCUAACUACGUGCCAGCAGCCGCGGUAAUACGUAGGUCCCGAGCGUUGUCCGGAUUUAUUGGGCGUAAAGCGAGCGCAGGCGGUUAGAAAAGUCUGAAGUGAAAGGCAGUGGCUCAACCAUUGUAGGCUUUGGAAACUGUUUAAUUUGAGUGCAGAAGGGGAGAGUGGAAUUCCAUGUGUAGCGGUGAAAUGCGUAGAUAUAUGGAGGAACACCAGUGGCGAAGGCGACUCUCUGGUCUGUAACUGACGCUGAGGCUCGAAAGCGUGGGUAGCAAACAGG
rnacentral:rRNA from 1 species